AGAUAUGCUGUUAGCCAUAAAUAGGAGUUUACUAUAUAAUCAGCAAAUGUAAUGGGGCAUAUGAAUCACUUAUGAAAUUGUCACAUAGCUAGGAUUUAAUAUAAUAAAGUGGGAGUUAUCCAGAAGAUUGCCAUUCUUAGUAUACUUUUUCUUUCAGGUUCUGAAAAUUUUUAGUAUAACUGUUCAGAAAACAUUAAUGAAAAUUUCAAGACGUACUUCUCCCCAUAACAUUCCCAUAAUGAAGCCUGUUUGAUGGGAGAUGUAUGUAGAUGCCAGUGGUUUUAGGUGAGUGAAUGACAGACAUAGGAAUAUUGUUUGCACAAUGAUUAAAAACGUUUACGUUUUAGACUUUCUUUUCGUUC
rnacentral:lncRNA from 1 species